rnacentral:rRNA from 1 species
CCAAAGGUUCCCUCAGAAUGGUUGGAAAUCAUUCGUAGAGUGUAAAGGCACAAGGGAGCUUGACUGCGAGACCUACAAGUCGAGCAGGGACGAAAGUCGGGCUUAGUGAUCCGGUGGUUCCGCAUGGAAGGGCCAUCGCUCAACGGAUAAAAGCUACCCCGGGGAUAACAGGCUUAUCUCCCCCAAGAGUCCACAUCGACGGGGAGGUUUGGCACCUCGAUGUCGGCUCAUCGCAUCCUGGGGCUGUAGUCGGUCCCAAGGGUUGGGCUGUUCGCCCAUUAAAGCGGUACGCGAGCUGGGUUCAGAACGUCGUGAGACAGUUCGGUCCCUAUCCGUCGCGGGCGCAGGAAAUUUGAGAGGAGCUGUCCUUAGUACGAGAGGACCGGGAUGGACGCACCGCUGGUGUACCAGUUGUCUUGCCAAAGGCAUAGCUGGGUAGCUACGUGCGGACGGGAUAAGUGCUGAAAGCAUCUAAGCAUGAAGCCCCCCUCAAGAUGAGAUUUCCCAUGGCGCAAGCUAGUAAGAUCCCUGAAAGAUGAUCAGGUUGAUAGGUCAGAGGUGGAAGCGUGGCGACAUGUGGAGCUGACUGAUACUAAUAGAUCGAGGACUUAACCAAC